GGCAGUUCUUGGGUGACACACCCUGGAACCAGAGAGGAGGAAGCCCGACUCCGGGGUGUGUCACCCAAGAACCCCC
rfam:Myotis davidii contig101219, whole genome shotgun sequence.